rnacentral:rRNA from 1 species
UACGUAGGGUGCAAGCGUUGUCCGGAAUUAUUGGGCGUAAAGAGCUCGUAGGCGGUUUGUCGCGUCGAAUGUGAUAACCCGGGGCUCAACCCCGGGCCUGCAUUCGAUACGGGCAGACUAGAGUUCGGUAGGGGAGUCUGGAAUUCCUGGUGUAGCGGUGAAAUGCGCAGAUAUCAGGAGGAACACCGGUGGCGAAGGCGGGACUCUGGGCCGAUACUGACGCUGAGGAGCGAAAGCGUGGGGAGCAAACAGG